CCUACGGGAGGCAGCAGUGAGGCAUAUUGGUCAAUGGACGCAAGUCUGAACCAGCCAUGCCGCGUGCAGGAUGACGGCUCUAUGAGUUGUAAACUGCUUUUGUACGAGGGUAAACCCCGAUACGUGUAUCGUGUUGAAAGUAUCGUACGAAUAAGGAUCGGCUAACUCCGUGCCAGCAGCCGCGGUAAUACGGAGGAUCCGAGCGUUAUCCGGAUUUAUUGGGUGUAAAGGGUGCGUAGGCGGUUUGAUAAGUUAGAGGUGAAAUGUCGGGGCUCAACCCCGAAACUGCCUCUAAUACUGUUGGACUAGAGAAUAGUUGCGGUAGGCGGAAUGUAUGGUGGAGCGGUGAAAUGCUUAGAGAUCAUACAGAACACCGAUGGCGAAGGCAGCUUACCAAACUAUAUCUGACGUUGAGGCACGAAAGCGUGGGUAGCAAACAGGAUUAGAUACCCCAGUAGUC
rnacentral:rRNA from 1 species